rnacentral:rRNA from 1 species
CCCGUCACACCAUGGGAGCUAGCUGUACCGGAAGUCAGUGCGCCAACCCGCAAGGGGGGCAGCUGCCUAUGGUAUGGCUGGUGACUGGGGUG